AACGAACGCUGGCGGCAUGCUUAACACAUGCAAGUCGAGCGGGCGUAGCAAUACGUCAGCGGCAGACGGGUGAGUAACGCGUGGGAACGUACCUUUUGGUUCGGAACAACACAGGGAAACUUGUGCUAAUACCGGAUAAGCCCUUACGGGGAAAGAUUUAUCGCCGAAAGAUCGGCCCGCGUCUGAUUAGCUAGUUGGUGAGGUAACGGCUCACCAAGGCGACGAUCAGUAGCUGGUCUGAGAGGAUGAUCAGCCACAUUGGGACUGAGACACGGCCCAAACUCCUACGGGAGGCAGCAGUGGGGAAUAUUGGACAAUGGGGGGCAACCCUGCUCCAGCGAUGCCGCGUGUGUGAAGAAGGCCUGAGGGUUGUAAAGCACUUUAGUUGGGAGGAAGAAUCCAGAGAUGAAUAAGCUAUGGAAAUGACGUUACCCAAAGAAUAAGCACCGGCUAAACUCUGUGCCAGCAGCCGCGGUAAU
rnacentral:rRNA from 1 species